rnacentral:rRNA from 1 species
CCUACGGGGGGCAGCAGUGGGGAAUAUUGCACAAUGGGCGAAAGCCUGAUGCAGCGACGCCGCGUGAGCGAAGAAGGCCUUCGGGUCGUAAAGUUCUGUCCUAAGGGAAGAAGAGAACGAUACUAUAGGAGGAAGCACCGGCUAACUACGGGCCAGCAGCUGCGGUAAUACGAAGGGGGCGAGCGUUAUCCGGAAGUACUGGGCGUAAAGGAUGCGGAGGCGGCCUUUUAAGUCAGCGGGGAAAGGCUGCGGCCUAACCGUAGUUAGCAUUUGAAACUAGAAGGCUUGAGUGCAGGAGAGGAGAGUGGAAUUCCUAGUGUAGCGGUGAAAUGCGUAGAUAUUAGGAGGAACACCAGUGGCGAAGGCGACUCUCUGGACUGCAACUGACGCUGAGGCACGAAAGCGUGGGGAGCGAACAGGAUUAGAUACCCGGGUAGUC